rnacentral:RNase_P_RNA from 1 species
UGGGCUGGCCGGGCGACCGCGACACCUCCGCUCCGGCGGUAGUGGCGAGGAAGGUCCGGGCUCCACAGGGCAGGGUGAUGGCCAACAGCCAUCCGGGGCAACCCGCGGGACAGUGCCACAGAGAACAGACCGCCUCCCGGCUUGCCGGGCGGCAAGGGUGAAACGGUGGUGCAAGAGACCACCAGUGCUCCGGGCGACCGGAGCAGCUAGGUAAACCCCACCCGGAGCAAGAUCAGACAGUGCGCGUUCGAGGGCGGCCCGCCCGAGCGCACGGGUAGAUCGCACGAGGGGGUCGGCAACGGCUCCCCCAGAUGGAUGGUCGCCCCGCCGCACCAGCGGCGGACAGAACCCGGCCUACAGGCCAGCCCAUUCG